AACACAUUUAUAGUUAAAAACCAUUCUCCAAAAUACUCAUAUUGACCUCUAUAACUAGAAAUAUACUAUUAAAACAAAAUCAGCUAGACCUAGUUUCAGGCUCAGGAAGUCAAUAAUACUAAGCACCAAUGAUGCUACCAAUAGCAAGUGAUUGCACAAGAUAACAUGAUACCUCAACAAAGGGCCAUUAGAAAUUAUAUAUUUACCAAGAACAUAAAACACUUCGGUUUUAAAAAUUUAAAGGAAGUCUGAAAUUUGGAACUGCUAAGGAACCGCAUGACAACCAUAUUAUCAGUUCACACCUCGGCCUCCAGGUGGUAUUUUGGCAUCUCAGAACAAAAUGAUUUCGAUUCCAGAAAAGAAAAUCAAAGGGCAUAAACCACAAAAGAAACUAUUGCAAAAAACAACACAGGAAAAA